CAAAAAUUGAAAAAGAUGCAGAGCAUGUACAAAAUAAUAUUAUUAUUGUAAUAUCACCUAGUAGUAUUUGAGAUAUACCGUGGUGUACAUUAUUUUGUACAUGCUCUGCAUCUUUUUCAAUUUUUG